UGACGUCCAUCUUGAAUUUUCCGUAUUAGUUUCGGUUUCCUCUGUAGCGAGUUAUGGCUCAUAGAAGAGGAGAAAAAAAAAUCGCUCAGGAGUUGGAGCAGAACACUUGCAGUUUUCAGAACAUUGUGGAUGUACCGUGUGUUUUGGACUAAAACGCUUUACUGGAUUAUAUUCGCUGGACCGUAACGAACGGAGUGACACCAAACACAACGUGAAUGUCGAUGUAUGGGGUCUAGAAAGUCGUCAAAACUGCAGGAGGCGUCUGCCAGGAAAGAGCCAACGAGGGCCUCAUGAUGAGAGAGGGGAGUGAGAAAGGGUUGCAGGGGUGCUGGCGCCAAUAACACGGAGCAAGAUGCGAGGAACCUGCACAGGUCAGCGGUUUAUCACGGGGUAAACACAUAAAAACAGACAUUAAUUCACCUCCACAUUCAGACCGGUGGUCAUUUUAGAGUCAAGGAUGCACAGUAUAAUUCACCGGCCUGCUGAAUGUGAUAAUAUCUGAUGCCACGAUAUAUUUGUCUUUAUCAGAUGAUGACGCAGUAAAUGUUUGCUGUACCACAGUCAUUCAGCUUUUAACAUAGCCAUUCCAACAGGACAGCUUUGCUAUGUUACUAGGGACUUGAACAUACGACAUAUGUUCUAUCUCACUUUGUGUGUCUGUCUAAUUUUUUCAGGAACAAGAAAUUCUGUUAUUGCUUUUGAGCAGAAUCUUUGUGGCAAAAGUGCUUAUUUUUAAAAAUUGUGUUCAUGUAACAACAUAUCGUAUUGUGUAUGUGUUUGUUCUUUAACAUUUUUGGUAGCUUUCUAAAACAUGCUGUAAAAACCCCACUGUACUGUCAGAUGCUAGUGACCACAGCAAAUAGCAGGCUCAUAAUCCCAGCUGUAGCAUGCUGAUGCUUGGCAGCCACUUUGUUACAUUUUCAGGCAUUGGGUGUUUUGCUACAUCAUUAUCCAAACGUCCCUUUGAAUAAACCUUGCUUGCGUGAAAUGAUCAUCAGCCCUCACACUGUGAAUGCCUUUGCAGUGUUUUGUUGACGUCGGCGUCGUUUCUGUCUUCAUCCCAUUCAAACCCUGAGCGAUCAAACACUGUGACACUCUCUAUCUUUCACUCCAUAUUUGUUUGCCAGUGUUUACAUGAGUGCCUGUUGUGCUGAUCUCCCGUGAUGUUCAUUCUAAGGCAGUGCCAGGACAGAUGAUCUCAGGGUUGCCAAAAACACACACAAGCACGCACACACACACCUACACACACAUCCACACACAAAUCACCCGAGGGUAAGUUACACUGAGCCUAUCUAAUGGAAACCGUAUUACUGUGGUUCAAACGCUGUCAUGUACCUGCCAAAUAACAAUCUGAUACAUGGUGACAUGGGUCUCAUGUGGUGGGUUGCUAGAAAUAAAUAGCCACUGAGGACAGAGAAACAACAUCAGACCUGGGAGUGGGGGGUGGGGUCCAAUCCACCCGAACCUCCACCUAAACUGUAGAGUUUUAUGACAUGGUCAUCCACAACCUAGAGACUGGAUCACACGUGACACGAGAUGAAUGAAAUACAAUCUUGAUUCCAAUUUGUGUCACUGUAAAAUAUUAAUAAAUGUGUCAGGUGUUACGAUUAAACUUCAUGACCACCUAUAGGGCUAUAAAGAAACUCAGACUGAUCAGAAGGCGGCAUCAGGUCAAACAGUCAGUUCACUCUUGUUUCAAAGCUUCUACUUCUCUUCAGCGCUUCACAUUCUGUGUAGGGCAGGAUGGUUAAUGUGGGCUGCACCAGGGAUGAAACAGUAUAAGUUAUGCUCUUUUAAGUUCAUGUUGUUCUUUAAGAGGUCUGGUAGAAGCGGCACCAAAGACAGUAUUUUUCUUGCGCUGUCCGUUUUUGCAGCCUCUGCUCCUCCUUUUGAAGAAGUCUGAGCGGUGAAUUACUGCAGCGCAGCCGUCAACGUGAAACAGUUAACACCUCCAAGCUAUUUCUGGGUUUUUCUUCAUCUUCUCCAGAGCAGCUGCAGAUUAUUGCACAGCCUAUAGGGACUCCAUGUUUACAGGGGCCACGGAUACUUCUAAUUGUUUAAAUUUAAUCCCGAGUAAAUAGCCACCUUCCAUCCCAGCACCCUCAGGAUGGUCUGUGCUGCUGUGGGAAAAGCUACAGUAAAUGGCUUCCUCUGCAGUGCUGCUGCCCACUAUGUGUCUGGAGGGGUGUGAGGGCAACCUUCCACUGUUCUGAGGUAAUUAAAUUAAACUGACAACUUAAAGACAUAAUAUUUGUUCAUUUCUGUAAUUUCUACUACAUGGUCUAAAUGAUAAGUGCUUAAAGGCUAAAGAUUUAGUUAUUAUAGAAUUAGUUUUUAGGCAUUUUCAAUCAAGAAGUGUGGCAGAGUAGAGACCGGUAAGACUGGCUGUAGCAAAGACUUUCAGUAGCACUACUUGAAGUUAAGCAUUUCUAAAUUGUAUUUCUACUGUAAAUAUCCAAACAAAAAUGAAGAACAACCGCUAAUCUGAAAUUGAUCAGUUUAUCAGUUCGACAUGACCUGCAGAACCAGGUAAAGCGUUUGAUAAGAUGGUGUGUUGAGCAGUAUUAUCAUUUUAAAACCAUGCCAUGCAAAUACACUGGAAUAUGAUCAAAAUGUGUGAGUGUUAUAACAUGUAAAAGACUCAAAAAAACAAAUAGAAAAUAACAGAUCAAAAAGAAGUAAAUGGUCUAAAUCAAAAACAGUUUUCAUUUUUUGCAUCUCUUCCAGUCAUGAUUGUCAGAAAUGUAUUAGGAAGUAAUUCCACUGGAUAACAAGCAUGCAACAGCUUUUAUUUUUGUCUUUAGUGUUUGAUGUCUCACACUCAAAUAGCUUUGACUUGAUAAGAACCCGGGCCUUAGCCAAUUGUGAUUACGUCUGGCCUGUGGGAUGUUGUCUCUGCUGGUAAUCGCACGAAAGCAAGAAACGAAUGGGAGCUGCGAGAGGAAUCGUCCCCGUGGCACCAUUAAACAGGAAACAUUCAAAUCCAUCUGACAUGCCCUGUGUGUGCUUGAGUUGAAAUAAGGAAAUAGAAAUGCCAUCAUGGAAUGAAAAGCAGACCUGCACACGUUUAUCAUCCCACUCACACACAGUAACUUUAUCAAAUGCAUCCCAGAGAUGCCUUCUUUCACACCUUCAUCAUUUUGGUCCCAACGUGGCACAUUGUUUGUUCACAUCUCAGACCUUUACUCUGCAAAUCCAUUAAAUAAUGACUCAAGUGAUUAGUUUCAGGAUAUUUAUGAGACAGGAAGCCAAAUAUGUAGAAAUUGUAUAUACAAGCAUCAAAACAAUUUUGGAUUUUAAAAAUUUCAUAAAGGGUUCACAAACAUCCCAAUGCAUUUUUUCUUCAGCUUCACAUCUCUAGGAGGCGGCAGGGUACUGUAGCAUGUGUUAUCAAAGGACUCUAUGGACACAGGCUUUAUAUUUCAGUGCAAGAUCUUUUUCAAUAAAAAUGCCAGUAGCCUCUUUAAAAUAUUUCUGCUACAUUUCAACUGCAAUAAAAAACCUCUAUUAGCCUGUCCUUUCUGAAAAAAGAGAUCUAAUUAACAGUACCUUUAAAACUUUCAAAUUAUAAUUCAGAUUAAUAGAUUCUUCAUUUUAAGCUUGGCUGCCCCGGCAGCUCUGCCAUUAUCAUCAAUUAGAGGUUUCACUCAAUAACACAAAUACAGCCUGUUCUCUUCGGGUGACCUCAGUGUGCAGUGGCCAAAUGCAAGACCCACACUGUAAAAAUGUCUAUAAUAUUCACAGUACGUUACUGUAAAAUGGUAAUAGCUUGAGACUGUAAAAGGAAAAAUUAUGAAGAGCUGUUUCAUUUACAGUGAUGUAAACGUGAUGGUUUUCAGUUUAUUGAAGAAGCAGAUGAAGUGUCAGCAGAAGAGCUCAUUACUGUGUUGCAACUGAAGGGCAAGUCAAGAAAAGCAGUGUCACUUGCAAUUGUUGCCAAAUGAAACCUUGGGAAAAUGUUUUGUAAGUUUAGCAAUGUAGUUUGGUUCUUUUAAUGAUGAGUGUGUCUGUGUUUUUGCAGGUCAGAUACAUGAACAUAGUCACAUUUUAUCUAUUGACACCUCACCAGGACCUCCUGCAUUUUUGCAGACUCUUAACCAGAGGUUCAUCUUCAAACUCUUCCAUCAGCAGCAGCAGUAGUAAACUGUGGCAAAACGCUGCCAUACAGUACUAAGACCGAGACCAAAGAACUGAUGCAGUCGCUGGAAAGAGGAAAACUGCAGAGUCAAAGCGUGUUUGUGAGAUGAUGCAAAGAAGUCCUUGCAAAUGGAGAAAUAAAGAAAUUAGCAACAUUUUGUCUGCAAUUCUCCUUUUAUGUUCACAAAUGGACAAAUAUGUACAAUAUAGGAUCAAUUUACAAGAAAAAUGUCAAAGAGUGAAAUAUAUAUUUAGCUUAAUGCUUGUUAUACAUAUAAGAAGAAAAAUACUGUAAUUAAAUGUAUUAGUUAAAAACUACAGUAAUACAUUUUUUUUUUACAAUUUUUUCCUCAAUUAACAACAGUUUGAAAAUGUACAAUUUACUUUUUUUAAGUUCCUCACUAUUCUUUUCAGCCCUUCUUAUUUGCUUAAAUUAUAUAUCAAAUGAUGAUUUUAAAUCCUUUUGAGAUCUGUCUGUUCAGCAAUUCAAUUUAAGCCAGCUGGAUCCUCUUUUUAAAAAACACUGUGUACAGGACAGAACAGAACCAUGGAGGUUUUAUAAGUUUGUCUGCAAAAUAUCCAGUGUUUUAAGCUAAGUAUUAGACUGAGCUCAGCCAUAGGCACAACAUUUAUAAUCAAGCAUAGAUCCUAUCAAAUUAAUUAAAGACAGCGCUCCCUCAGUCACAUCCAGUCGUCUUAUGACAUUUCACUCCCUCUCACAACUUUCUAGCUAAUUUUGCUAAACAAACUGCUGAAGUUAGUCAAUUAUAAAACCAAACACAGAAAACUAUUAUUUCUGUGAGAGUGGAAAACUUUCCUGUGUUCAAACAAGUUGAAAUGUCAGGCAGACCUGCCGACAGUCAAGCUCAAGACUGUUGAUCAGAAUCUACACUAUACAGUAUGGUGUUAAUUUAUUUAUUUAUUUACUUACUUACUUACCUACUUACUUAUUUAUUGGCUUAUGCGUCACCGCUGACUUUUCUUUGAACUAAAAGAUUUGAACUGCAAUUGUAAUAUACCGUUGUGAAACCUUUUGCUAGAAAACAACAUUUUAAUGAAACAAGUUGCUGAUGAAAAUAUCUAAAACCUUUUUGCAUACUUCUAAUUUUCACUAAUCUAAUUAAUUAUGGAUAUUAAAGCAAUUAAUCUGUAAAAUAUUUGUCUUAUUUUUAUUUAAGAAAUGCUCUGCAAUUCCAUUGACAAUUAUAAAAUACUGUAUAAUAUUACCUGUGUCAACUCUGUUAUUCACAUGUUUUUUCUGUAGAAAGAUCUAUGCUAUAGAAUCAAUUUUUCUGUCGUUUGAAUUUGAUCACCGUUACCAUUC